AGAACUUAACUUUAUAUAUUUGAAUAUUUUCAUUAUGAAACCCUCUCUACCCUUUCAAUACGACUUUAAAACCAUUAUACACAACCCCACAAGCCACACCAACCUCACACCUACCACUCACCCUUCCUAACGCCGUCUAACACACCGUUACGCGUUUUCAUAACACAACUAAACAAACCGUUAACUCCGUUAGUCAACAUAUCAACACCAUCGGAAAACUUCUCCACCGCCGCCCUGAGCUCCUUAACGCCGUCCUUCAAUCGACUCCGUCGCUCAUCGCCGCCGUCUCCGUCGCCAACGGCGGCGACUUCAUCGAUCACAUCACACACCGCCACUGCUCUGGUUGCAGCAUCUUCAACCUCCAACAACCUUUUCGGCUUUAUCAGGUCAAAAACUCGUUUCUUCACUCCGUUGACCGAGUCAACCCACCGGAACUCAGUCGGAACUCGGACUUCAACCAGAUCUGACUGUCCGUACAGUACGGAAACCAAAACACUGUUUACAAAAACGGUUAUUGUUCCGAGACCAUGCAAAGUGUGCCGGAUCAUAUCUCUAGGUUUUGAGAUGAAUAAUUACCUUUUCAUCGAAAUUUUUAGCUGCGAGUUGGUAGUUUUUUGAUGGUUUUUUGCCGGUUAACUUGAAAUGAGAAGUUAGAUGAGUUUUUUCGACGAGAAACAUACUUACAGUUGUAGACUUAUAGGAACGGUUGAAUGAAGUUGCCGGAAAAGAUAGGUUGUCGCCGGAGACGAUGAGUUUUUUUUUUUUUUUGCCGGAUUUAUUUGUUAGCAGAUUUUUUUUUUUCUUUCUGGUU
rnacentral:lncRNA from 1 species